rnacentral:tRNA from 2 species
GUAGACGCUACGGACUUAAAUCCGUCGACUUUAGAAAUCGUGAGGGUUCAAGUCCCUCUAUCCCCA